GAGAUAUGAUUAGUGGUCUAGUCUCACAUUAAAUAUGCGAGUUGGGUGUCUGCCCCAGACUUGGUAACGACAAUUCAGCACUCUCCUUUGACCAAUCAGAUCUC